rnacentral:rRNA from 1 species
UACAGAGGUCCCGAGCGUUGUUCGGAUUCACUGGGCGUAAAGGGUGCGUAGGUGGCAGGGUAAGUUUGAUGUGAAAUCUCUGAGCUUAACUCAGAAACUGCAUUGAAUACUAUCCUGCUCGAGGGUUGGAGGGGGGACUGGAAUUCUCGGUGUAGCAGUGAAAUGCGUAGAUAUCGAGAGGAACACCAGUGGCGAAGGCGAGUCCCUGGACAGGUCCUGACGCUGAGGCACGAAAGCUAGGGGAGCAAACAGG